rnacentral:rRNA from 1 species
UACGGGGGGAGCAAGCGUUGUUCGGAUUUACUGGGCGUAAAGGGCGCGUAGGCGGCCAGCACAAGUCAGUUGUGAAAUCUCCGAGCUUAACUCGGAAAGGUCAACUGAUACUGUGCGGCUAGAGUGCGGAAGGGGCAACUGGAAUUCUUGGUGUAGCGGUGAAAUGCGUAGAUAUCAAGAGGAACACCUGCGGCGAAGGCGGGUUGCUGGGCCGACACUGACUCUGAGGCGCGAAAGCCAGGGGAGCGAACGGG